rnacentral:rRNA from 1 species
AUGGACAAUCUACUCUCUCCGUCCUCCUGCUUCCUUCCACCUUCGCCGUCCUCCCAAUACUCCACGGUGGGCACACAGGUGAUCGAGUUUGUGCCCCUGCUUCACGAGCAAUGGCUGUUCGACGACGGCACGAUGUCCCAGAACGAGGACAGGGAGCUGUGGGCGCCUAUGGGGAGCACGCUUCCCCGGAGCCCUGAGCUCUCGGAGCUGCCGUCGGGCGUCCCGGCAACGCCGCUGUCCAAUGGUAAGCGGCGUGGCCGGAAACCCGGGCCCCGCUCCGACUCUCGCCAAACCGUCGGCCACGUGCAGGCUGAGCGCCAGCGCCGCGACAAACUGAACCGUCGAUUUUGCGACCUCCGCGCUGUCGUCCCCAACGUGUCCCGUAUGGACAAGGCAUCACUCCUUGCUGACGCCGCCACCUACAUCGGGGAGCUACGCACCCGCGUAGCGCACUUGGAGGACGAGGCCAACAAGACAUUGGAGAAGGGAGCUGCGGCCGCCGCUUCUCGCGGUGGUCCAGCUUCCAAGUUCCUGCAGGUAGAUGAAACUGUGGACGUGCGGAUGGUGGGACGAGACGGGGCCGCGGUGCGUGUGACCACCACUGCCAACCACGCUCCCGCGCAGCUGAUGGGCGCCCUCCGGUCACUGGAGCUGCAGGUGCAGCAUGCCUGCGUUAGCCACGUGCAGGGCGUGACCCUGCAAGACGUCCUCGUGGACAUGCCAGCCUCGAUGCAGGACGCCGACGACCUCCGCUCGGCGCUGCUCCAGGCGCUGCAGGAGCAGCAGGACAGCGCCUAA